CGAGCUGGCCGGGUGAUCGCGGCACGCAAGUGUCGAGGAAAGUCCGGACUCCACAGGGCAAGGUGGUGGGUAACGCCCACCCGGGGCAACCCGCGGGAAAGUGCCACAGAGAACAGACCGCCAGGAGCAAUCCUGGUAAGGGUGAAACGGUGGUGUAAGAGACCACCAGCACCGCAGGUGACUGCGGUGGCUUGGCAAACCCCACCCGGAGCAAGGUCAAGAGGUGAGGCGAAGGCAACGACGCCGAACUGCGCAGGCGAGCGGCCCGCUCGAUGCCUGCGGGUAGACCGCACGAGGCUGUCGGCAACGGCAGUCCCAGAUGGAUGAUCACCGGUCGGUGCAAGCCGACCACAGGAUCCGGCUUACAGGCCAGCUCGUCCC
rnacentral:RNase_P_RNA from 1 species